rnacentral:antisense_RNA from 1 species
CCCUACGGCGGGCCAGGUGGGGAGACCUUAGGGUCAACCGGGUCCAUGUGCCGGUUCGCCAACCCUGCUUUGGCUUGCCACCCCU